GACGAACGCUGGCGGCGUGCUUAACACAUGCAAGUCGAACGGAAAGGCCCCUUUGGGGGGGCGCGAGUGGCGGACGAGUGGGUAAGACGUGAGUAACCAGCCCGCGACUUCGGGAGAAAUAAAUGAAACUGAGGCGAAUACCGGCUAGGAAGGAUUGCUGCCUGGAGGGGGGUGGAAAGCUUCGGGGGGUUGGGGGGGACGCGCGGUUUAUCAGCUUGUUGGUGGGGGGGGGGCUUACCUAGGCAUUGUUGGGUAGCCGGCCGGAGAGGGCGAACGGCCACAUUGGGACCUGGAUACCGCCCCGGCUCCUACGGGGGGCAGCAGGGGGGAAAAUUGCACAAUGGGCGGAAGCCCGAUGCAGCAACGCCGGGGGCGGGAUGACGGCCUUCGGGUUGGAAACCGCCUUUAGCCUGUGCGAAGCUGGUGGUGACGGUAGUUGCUAAAGAAGCACCGGCUAACUACGUG
rnacentral:rRNA from 1 species